UACAGAGGGUGCGAGCGUUAAUCGGAAUUACUGGGCGUAAAGCGCACGUAGGUGGCGACGUAAGUCGGGUGUGAAAGCCCCGGGCUCAACCUGGGAAUUGCAUUCGAGACUGCAUUGCUGGAGUACGGAAGAGGAGGGCGGAAUUCCCGGUGUAGCGGUGAAAUGCGUAGAUAUGUGGAGGAACACCGAUGGCGAAGGCAGCCCCCUGGGUCAAAACUGACGCUCAUGCACGAAAGCGUGGGGAGCAAACGGG
rnacentral:rRNA from 1 species